AACGAACGCUGGCGGCAUGCCUAACACAUGCAAGUCGAACGAGACCUUCGGGUCUUGUGGCGCAUGGGUGCGUAACGCGUGGGAACCUGCCCUUAGGUUCGGAAUAACUCCCCGAAUGGGGUGCUAAUACCGGAUAAUGUCUUCGGACCAAAGAUUUAUCGCCUUUGGAUGGGCCCGCGUUGGAUUAGCUAGUUGGUAGGGUAAAAGCCUACCAAGGCGACGAUCCAUAGCUGGUCUGAGAGGAUGAUUAGCCACACUGGGACUGAGACACGGCCCAGACUCCUACGGGAGGCAGCAGUGGGGAAUAUUGGACAAUGGGCGAAAGCCUGAUCCAGCAAUGCCGCGUGAGUGAUGAAGGCCUUAGGGUUGUAAAGCUCUUUUACCCGGGAUGAUAAUGACAGUACCGGGAGAAUAAGCUACGGCUAACUCCGUG
rnacentral:rRNA from 1 species